GUGCUCGCCUCGGCAGCACAUAUACUAAAAUUGGAAUGAUAGAGAGAUUAGCAUAGCCCCUGUGCAAGGAUGACAUGCAAAUUCGUGAAGCGUUCCAUAUUUUA
rnacentral:snRNA from 1 species